rnacentral:rRNA from 1 species
UGGAUCCAGACUUUGAUCAUGGCUCAGGAUGAACGCUAGCUACAGGCUUAACACAUGCAAGUCGAGGGGAAACGACAUUGAAAGCUUGCUUUUGAUGGGCGUCGACCGGCGCACGGGUGAGUAACGCGUAUCCAACCUGCCCAUCACUUGGGGAUAACCUUGCGAAAGUAAGACUAAUACCCAAUGAUAUCUCUAGAAGACAUCUGAAAGAGAUUAAAGAUUUAUCGGUGAUGGAUGGGGAUGCGUCUGAUUAGCUUGUUGGCGGGGUAACGGCCCACCAAGGCGACGAUCAGUAGGGGUUCUGAGAGGAAGGUCCCCCACAUUGGAACUGAGACACGGUCCAAACUCCUACGGGAGGCGGCAGUGAGGAAUAUUGGUCAAUGGACGAGAGUCUGAACCAGCCAAGUAGCGUGCAAGAUGACGGCCCUAUGGGUUGUAAACUGCUUUUAUAAGGGAAUAAAGUGAGUCUCGUGAGACUUUUUGCAUGUACCUUAUGAAUAAGGACCGGCUAAUUCCGUGCCAGCAGCCGCGGUAAUACGGAGGGUCCGGGCGUUAUCCGGAUUUAUUGGGUUUAAAGGGAGCGUAGGCCGGAGAUUAAGCGUGUUGUGAAAUGUAGACGCUCAACGUCUGCACUGCAGCGCGAACUGGUUUCCUUGAGUACGCACAAAGUGGGCGGAAUUCGUGGUGUAGCGGUGAAAUGCUUAGAUAUCACGAAGAACUCCGAUUGCGAAGGCAGCUCACUGGAGCGCAACUGACGCUGAAGCUCGAAAGUGCGGGUAUCGAACAGGAUUAGAUACCCUGGUAGUCCGCACGGUAAACGAUGGAUGCCCGCUGUUGGUCUGAAUAGGUCAGCGGCCAAGCGAAAGCAUUAAGCAUCCCACCCGGGGAGUACGCCGGCAACGGUGCAACUCAAAUGAAUUGACGGA